rnacentral:rRNA from 1 species
AUAAGUAGGUUAUUGUGUUUUAGUGUUAAGUUGAUUUUGAUUGAAAUAACUUAUGUUAUAUUAUUUAAGUAAAACUGAUUUUUAUUAAUGGUAGCUGAUAGUAUUGUGGAAGAAUCUUCUUUAUAUUUAAAAAGAAAGCUUAAUUUGUUGUACCUUGUGUAUCAGGGUUUAUUAAAUUUAGUUUAUUAUAAAAUGUUCCCGAAGUUUGAAGAGCUAAUUAUUUCAUUAUUUUAUUGUAAUAUAAAUAUUUAAAAGAGUUAGUUAGAUGCGAAAUGUAAUACGUUUCAGAAGAUAUCUGGUUUCUGAAGAAUUGAAUUUAAUUCAGAAUUCUGUAUUUAAUUUUUUAAUUUUUAAUUUGUUAAAAAAGAAUUUUAAGGUCAAAAGGGAUGAGCUUUUUGAUUUAAAAUUAAAAAAAUAAUUUUUUAAGGAGCUAAUAGGAUUAGAGUUGUUCAUUUAUAGGAGUAUGUAAUAAUGCGUUUCUUGUUUAUAAAAAUUUAUAUAAUUUUUAAUUUUGUUAUUCAGAUAUUGACUGGGAUGGUUUUUGUUAAGUGAUAAUGGUAGAAUUAGUAUAGUUAUAUAUGUGGAUUGGACUAAGUUGUUAGAGUCAAUAAAAAGGAAUUCGGCAAAUAUUUUUUUCACCUGUUUAUUAAAAACAUGUCUUUUUGAUAAUAAUUUAAAGUCAAGCCUGCCCAAUGAAAUAUUUAAUGGCCGCAGUAUUCUGACUGUGCAAAGGUAGCAUAAUCAUUAGUUUUUUAAUUGGAAACUGGAAUGAAUGGUUUGAUGAGAAAAGAGCUGUCUCUUUAUUGUUUAGUUAGAAUUUUAUUUUUAAGUGAGAAAGCUUAAGUUUUUUAGAAAGACGAGAAGACCCUAUAGAGUUUUAUAUAAUGGUUAAUGAAUAUUUAAUGGGUUUGUUUUUUAACAUUAAUUGUUAUGUUUUGUUGGGGUGACAUGAAAAUGAAGAAAACUUUUUAUUUAUAUAAAUACUGAUAAGUAUGUUGAUGAUCCCGAAUGUUUGGAUUAACAGAUUAAAUUACCUUAGGGAUAACAGCGUUAUUUUUCUUGAGAGUUCAAAUUGAAAGGAAAGAUUGCGACCUCGAUGUUGAAUUAAAAUUAAUUUCUGGUGCAGAAGCUUGAAAAUUAAGUCUGUUCGACUUUUAAAAUUUUACAUGAUUUGAGUUUAGACCGGCGUGAGCCAGGUUGGUUUCUAUCUUUUAUAAAUUAAAAUGUUUUAGUACGAAAGGACCAGAUAUUUAAAUAAUAUUUUUUGAUUGAAUAAUAGU